UACGUAGGGGGCGAGCGUUGUCCGGAUUUAUUGGGCGUAAAGAGCGUGUAGGCGGCCAGGUAGGUCUGCUGUGAAAACUCGAGGCUCAACCUCGAGACGUCGGCGGAAACCAUCUGGCUAGAGUCCGGAAGAGGAGAGUGGAAUUCCUGGUGUAGCGGUGAAAUGCGCAGAUAUCGGAAGGAACGCCGGUGGCGAAAGCGACGUGCUGGAUCUCUUCUGACGCUGAGGCGCGAAAGCCCGGGGAGCAAACGGG
rnacentral:rRNA from 1 species